GCCGGCGUGCUUGAACCGUGUGUGGAGGGAGAGGAGGAGCGUUCGUCGCCCUGGCGUCUGUCAGCAGCGCAGUGAAAGACAAAGAUGAAGACCCCCUGGAAGGCGUUGAAAGUGGUGAAGAGAUAGGCCAUGACCACUGACUCCUUAUUGAUGAAAAGCAGGCCGAACGCCCAGGUGGCACGCUCUUUCCUCAUGCUCUGGGAGGCUUGUGGAGAGAUGACAAAGGUGACGCCAACUUGCUUCUCCAGAGUGCCCUGGGAGAAGGUGGGACCAUGACCAGAAAGAACCAGACAUGUGGCCUCCUGCCCCGGGCAAGACUGGUGCCACCCCCCCAAUGCCCACGAAGCUGGUCUUCCCUGGCACUGCCCAUG